rnacentral:lncRNA from 1 species
UCCAGCAAUUAAUGGAGCUCUUUUAGAAGAUAGCAUGGAAGACAAGUACAGUGGGUCAGUGACGUGUGAGUUGUAUCAGUUUUUUAGGGUGGCGAUCGUUCAUAUACCUGAUGUGAGGUCGUCAGUGUUUAGGUGUAUAUAUAGUAAAGCGGCUAUGAAGAAGAGUUUUUGUUUAGAGAUAUUAUUACUGAUUGAAGAAAAUUUCAAUCAUGGAAAAGAUUAUAAAUUUACUGUGUUUUUGUAUCUUUUGGCUACACGAAUCUUGUUUAUUUCGUUUUGUUUGAGAAGUGUUUAGCACUUGUAGUGGAUUGGUGAUUUACUACUUGCCUCUUUAAAUGUAUUUUCUCCUGUUGGCGAGAUUAAUCUUCCCCUUUGUUUUUCUUGUAUAUCUGCCAGUGCUAACAUAAUUGAUUUGAUUUACGUACUUCAGAACACUGUUUAGCCCCGAUUGUAGUCUUAUUGUCGAACCAUCAGACAGGUGUUUCAUUUAAUCUGUUUGCGGCUUGGCAGCUUACUGAACAUUACCAAGAGGAAUUUUCAUGUGUAAACAAUCUUAACAACUUGAGGUAUUAACAAUAAAGUUUGUUAAACCUAAAAUUCUCUCCAGGCUCCAGAGUCGUCUCCCUUGCUUCUUUCUCCACUAUAAUCGCCGGGGCUACCAUCGGUUUUCUCCGAUGGAAAGCCCCAAUCUCUUGUUUUCUUUUCAUUUUUGAAUAAAAAUUCUUAGAUCAAAAUCAUUGGAGUAUCCGGAUUUUUGUCUUCUCCGAUCAAAUGGAUGGCUAUACGGUGUAGAGGGGUCCAGUUUUUCUUAUUUUUGUGGUUUGUUUUCUGGAUCUAAAGUUUGCUUUUAUUUUGUAAUUUUAAUUUAAUUUGUAAUUUCAGUUUCGUUGUGAUCUCUCCUCAGUGAGAGUUUUGGUACUUCUCUCCUUUGUUUGUGAGAGUAUGGUGUUGGAUUUAGUGACAAGAGUUUUUAUGGGAUCGCAAUUAUGGUCGAUAGUUCACACCGGAUUAGUUCCAACUGGAUAUGGUGAAGCGGGUACAUGUAAAUAUAUCAUCUUCAACUAAUGGCGAGAUACAAUGGGUUAAUUAGCUAUUGUUUCUGUUUUAUGGUUUGUUCGACGCGACAUUUUUGUAGAUGCCGUAUGUCUUUUCAUUAUUGAAUUGAUACUUACUCAAAAAAAAAAAGAAUAUAGUGAAAAGCUUUAGUUUGAAAAAAGGAUUAAUUAUCAACUAAAGAUAUCAUUGGUCACUCACUAAACUGAUUUAGUGGUAUAAAAAACUUAGCUAACAGAUAUAAUGAACUAAACUCACUAAACUGAUUUAGUGGUGUCAAAAACUUAGCUAACAAAUAUAAUGAACUAUAUAUUAAAUCAAAAUUGAACAUUACUGAUAUUUUCUUGUAGUGGGUUGGCAAGAAAAUUCUAAACCUCCUUUUUAAUUUUCUUAGUGUUUUUGGGUUUUAAAUUACAUUUACAAUUUUUAAUAAAUUAUUAUCGAAUACACACACAUAUAGAAGCUAAAUCAAGUAAAAAUGUACCUUGUAAUGAAAAUUAGAAAUUACUCUUAAAAAUUACAUUAUUCUUUUUUUUUUGAAAGCAAAGAUUACAUUAUUCUUAAUCAUAUAUUUAUAUAAAUAAUAUAUAUACUCAUGUUAUAUAUACUUAAAAAUCAAAAAGGAGAAAGAGGUAAAUAAAUAAAUAUAUAAAUAUUUGUAUUUUUAAUAUUAUUGCUCAUGUUUAUAUAAAUAACUUAUUUAUAUAUGAUUUUUUAUAACAUGAAAAAAAGACACAUGGAUAAAUUCUUGUAUAUAUUAGUUAACAACAUAGUUAAAUUAAAUAAUACUCCCUCUAUCCCAACAGAUUUUUUAUAUAAAAUAUAAUUUCAUAAUAUUUUUUUAAUUUCUUAAAUAAAAUUAAAUGUUUAAAUUUUAAUAAAAAAUGUAAUAACUAAAACGUUUAGGGAAGUAAGAUAUCCGUGCAAAUAAUGAACAAGAACAGGAAGCGGGAGUAUAAUAUAAACGGAUUUUCAAGUGUGUGCCCACACACCGACAACCAUUUUUCUGUUGAAGUAGAGAAUUUUUAUUGGCCAAAACUUCAAUAAUAAUCAUUACUCUUUUUAAAUGAAAAGAAAAAAUAGCCAAUAAAAACCAUCCACCUGUUUUAAUAAAAAAAAUUUCGAAAAAAGUAUAAUAUAAUAAAAGUCCAUCAAAUACAUUCUAAAUUACAUAAUAUUUUUUAGUAUAUAAAAAAUCACAACGCCUCGCACUUUAAUCGAAUAUUUUAUAUCUUAAUAUUUAAUAAUCAAAUCAAAAUAAUUAUAUAGCUAAGCGACUCUGGUGUUUUGAUCAAAUAAUUUUAUAUUUUAAAAAUUUACAACCAAUAGUAAUUUAUAUACAAUUCGAAGUUAUUAAAUUUUUGAAUAACUUGCAUCAAAACCAGCCACAGUUUGGUUUCCUGCAUCUCUUUGAGUCAUCAUCUUUUGUAUAUUGCAAUCUGGAGGUUCCAUUUUCAGAUGUUAUGUGUAUCUGAUUGGUAGAAACCUUCCCUUCUGCGUGUAUUUUGGGUAUUGGACUUGAUCAGGAUCUAAAAAAAAUCCGGUCAGCUUGCCUGCCUUGCUUACUCGGUGUCUCUUGACAAAAGGUGCAUCAGGCGUGCUUCCUAUGUUGCCUUUUAUGGUGGCUGUAUCCACAAUUUUCUGUUAAUUUUAUUCUUUUCUAAUCUUCCAGAUUUAUAUGAAAGGUAAAAGAAUGUAGGGUAAAGAAUUUCUUUAGAAGACUAAUCCCUAUAAAUUUAACAAUCUCUUCAUAAUUUCAUAAACACGGAUCAAAAUUAAUAACCAAAAUGUAACCAUACAUAAAGAAAGAUCAAAAUUGACAAAUUACCCGGGCAAAUCAGCAAACACUUUAUGAACGGGAGUCUAAACUGGAAAAUAACAAUCACAUUGACAGCGGCGGCAUUGCAAUUAGAAGGAAGGCUGGGGUCAAUUACUUGUCCAGGUCACUUACUGUACAUUUCACGCAUCAAAAACUAUUAUAUAGAUAGAUGGUACUAUCUGGAACAGAGAUUGGCAUCUAAAGAUGAACAACAUAGAUUAGUAUCUUAUUCGAAAAUUAAGAAUCAGAAAAAAAAUAAAUUUAGUGCUUACUUGUUAAUACCAUCAGAAGAGUAACCCCUAACACCUCCAAAAACAACUAAUACAUAAUCAACAUCUAGUGAUCUUAUUAUCUCAUAUGCUUCAUCCUCAUAAGAUGACAUUGCACGUCCAAGUUCGAACUGAGCUAUGUGGGUAUUGUUCCAGGUGUUAUUGUCCACAAUCACAGUUCUGUUCCCCAUCGCAAUCGCAAUCGCAGUGAUCUGAUAUCCGUAGUCCCACGACUCCCACCAGGACAUCACCUUGGCACCCUGAGGAGUAUUCUGCCGCAACCAAAAAUAUGCUUUGCUGUAAUCAUCAAAAAUGAUCCUUUGUCCAUUGUGACCCCUUGCAGCUAAGACAAUAGAUGGAGAUUAAUAUGCCACCCAAGUACAAUGUAUAGCAUAUCUACUAAUUUUGUAAAAGGCACCCACAAGAAGUGGUGUAGCAGCAUUUUUCUGGAAAGGCAGAGAUUGAUUGCCCAAACACUGUUCGUUCAAUAAAUGCAGAUAAAUAUUCUUUUGCGUCUGACUAACAGCUAGACACAACUCUCGUGCACGUCUUUAUCGCUCUGUGCACUUGCGUGUGUAUGUGCACACCUCUUUCAUAUUCUAUUCUUAGAUAUGUAAAAUAUAAGUAACCGACAUUUGCUGAAUCUCUCAAUAUAAGAGUAUUUAGAUUAUAUUUCAAAAUUAUAAAGCUUAAAUUUCAACUAAGGAAGCUUAGAGUAGAAAUUCAAAGCCUGAAUCAUAAGCAAAGAAGCUCAGAUGCUAGAUGCACAAUGCUCUGGACUCCAUUUACUUACAAAUUAUUAGACCACGGAAUAGAUAGAUUGUGACAUUCAGGCCAUUGAUUCAAAAACAUUAAAGUUCACUUCUUGAAAUUUUAUUUACAUUUUGGUCCCAUUCAAGGUCGAUAGUCCUACUAUAUGCUUACACUGCUACUACAGUUUGAUCAUUCCUUUAAAAUAACAGCAAAGACAAUAAAAUAAACAUAAAAGAAAAACGCCGACACAGUCAAGCAUAAGACACAAACCUGGGCAGGAGGUAAAGAUGACACCCAGUCUGAUGCAUGGGUUGGAAGAAGACCAAAAGUAUUGAGCUGCCACAAGUAGUGUGAAAUGAACAAACCCCUCAGAUUAUAUCCAAAUAAUUGAUGUACCACAUAUAUGAGAUGGAUAUUUUCUUACUUUCCAGACGCCACGUGCUAGAGCGGCCAAAUUAAACGCAAUGUAGAGUAGUUUGGGACCAAGGAGAUCAACUAUCCCAUCCUUGUAAGGCUCGAAAACUGUAACAGAAGUUUUAAAAAAGACCUACUUGAGAUGCAGAAUUAACAUAAUGCGCACACGAUAACAUAGGGCGAUAACAUAGAGGUAUAGCAUAAAAAUGCUAAAACUUGAGUAUAACUAUUUAUUCAAGCUAUUUGAUAAUAUCAAUUAGAAGUUACUAACAAACAAAAUCCGAAUAUAGAUGCUUCUGCAAUAAUGUUGUCAAUUUCUGCGACAUUAGAAAAUUUCUGCCAGUCAGAACUUCUUACCACUCGGAACUUCCCCAAUAAUGUUGUCAAUUUCUGCGACAUUAGAAAAUUGUGCACUGCAUCUGUAUAGUUGGUUGUGGACAUUAUAGAUGCUUCUGCAAUAGUUCCAUUGUCUUCCUCGUACAUAUCCUUACUAAUCUUGAACGAACAUGCCAAAUGAUUAUCACUGUGAAAGUAAUAAUCCAGCAAGCACCACAUGGCUCUUCCAUCAGCAAAUUGAAGCAAAGUUAUCAACCUUCCGGUUGUAAUUUUCACAUAUUGCCUACCACUCACAUGUAAAACAAUGUCACAUCAAUGAAGAAGGUAUUUUAAAGCAGUAACGAUGCAUUUCUUUAAAUUUUGACUCCUGUUAUAAAGUUAUAGACAGUCAAAUAACCUGGAUCCAAUGCAGAAGCAUGUCCAUUGGAGUGCAUGUGUUCGGUUGCUCCUAAAUGAGUAGAGAUCACAUAGAACCGAUCAGAAUCUACUCCUAAAUGAGUAGUGCAUGUUUCCAUUAAGGUGCUGUCCUUGUAGGACUCUCAAGGUGUCGAACUCUGCAAUUGCCUCAUCAAAAGCUUGUUUAGCUAAAUGAAACGGCCUGCAUUACCAACCAAUACAACUGAACCACAGUUUUAAAGGAUAAACACGGAACAAAGAGGAUUGAGGAAUCCGCAUAGGAAACCUCUCAAGGGAAUUCAUUAUCUCGUAGUAGAAGACGGAGAAAUUCAGAGCAAGCCAUAGGACAAAAUCAAAACUAUGUAAAGUGUGAUGCACAGGUGUGUUGUUUAAUUUAUUAAAACAUUUCUAAUUCAAUAUAUAUAUAUAUAUAUAUAUAUAUAUAUAUCUUAUAUAGAGUUACGUAGCACACCAUUAUAAAUAUACACAUAAUAUAUAUUUUAUUAUAUUUUUUAUGAAAUAUAAUUGCAAAUUUUGAUUAUUAAACCGAAAACGAAGUUAUACAAUUUUUUUAUUCCAAAGAUCAUCUAAAAUUAUGCAAUAUCUCAACAUGAUUCUAUAACAGAAUAAUAAUCAUCCAGAAUUAUUCUGUUGUAGAAUCAGUUUCGAAAAUAUACUUUUUUUCAUCAAAUUUUAAGUUUUAAAUUAAUUAAAAUAGAUAUAUUUUAUAGUAUUCUAUAUUAGAAUCACGUUUUAUAUGUAUUUUAUAACAGAAUUUAUAAUAAAAUUGAUGAUUUAUAGUGGCGCACUAUGUAACUCCAUAUAAGGAGUCCCUCUCUUGAAUGUUGGCCUAUAUAUAUAUAUAUUCAUGCCCCAUAGCCUUUCAAUGAAUUGUAGGAUCAUUCUUUCUUUGCCUGGUCAGUCUUGAACUCAGCAAGAUAUCGAUAGUAGUCACCCUUUCUGUAUUGAUGCAGCCAUGAAGCAAGACAGCCCAGUUAAAGAAUUAAACAGAAAUAGUGUGCAGAAGACUUGAAACAACAAUAAACCAAUCAUUAGAUCAUUCUGCAAUUCUGCAUGAUAACAUAGUAUGAAUAUAACCCAUUAAACCUCCAACCUUCAAAUCUCCAUAAAUACUAUCAAAUCAUGAAUAUUAAUAACAUAGUAUGAAAAAGUUAGUGUGUCGGAUACAAAAAAGCCCUUAAAAUUGACAAAUUUACCAUAUUUGUUCUUUUGGGCAAAUCAUCAAACACUUUAUCAACAAAAGUUUAACCUGCAACUAUAAGACAAAAAAAUCAUCAGAAAACUAAUAAUUGAAAUAGAGAAUACAAAAGAGAGAAACAUAAUAAAGACUCCAGCAAGAACAAAAAACGGAAAGAGAGAGAGAGCGCAGAACAUACUGAAAGAUAGGCAAAUUAAUUAGACAACACCGUGUAUCAUGUCUACAGAUGCCAUGAAUCUAAUUUAAUUAGACAACAUUAUGCAUAUAUAUAAAACAGGAGAACAUCAGAGUGUACUAGAGCCGGCCAUUCGGGCGGUUUGGCUCGGCCCGAACUGGACCGAACCGUCAUUUAGCCCGUAUUUUAACGUGCCGGUUCGAACCGGCCCGAACCGGCACGAACCGUGGUUGCCGACGAACCGGUUACGGUUCCUAAAUCUUCGAUUCGCAAACCGUCAAAAACCGGCACGUCAAAACCGUUCCAACCCGUUCAACCCGCGUCAAACCACCAGCCCGUGUGAACCGCCAGCUUGUGUGACCUGAUGGAGUAACUUCAAACACAACAUCUAUCAACCAUUUGACUAGUAAAAGAAUUACCAACUGCAUUCACAUAAUAUUAAGUAGAAUACUAGCAUAUUUAAGAGUCUCUUUUUAUUUUCAUUUUCAGCCAGUGUCUCGAUCAUAAUUUAACAAUAGCAUUUAAUGAUGAUUGUUUUUAAUCUAUUAAGCAACUAACUAAUCCAAUAUUUAAAGAGACUUCAGAAAAGGCUCAAGUGGUUUACAAUUUAUAAAACUUAUUAUCGAAUUUUUAAAAUUUAAAUUUAAAAUUUAUAAAACAAAUAAAUAUUUAAAUUAUUUAUUAGUUUACAAUUUAUUAAAAAUUAGUCAUAUAAAACUUUAUUAUUGAAUUUUUAUAAUUUAAGAAUUAUUAAAAUUUAAACAUGUAACUAUAAACCAAAAUAAAUUAAAAAAAGAAAAAGAAAAACACAUGCACGCACUCAUAGUCUACGACUUGUUUUGAGAGUUGUAGUCUGCCUGCCAAGUGCCAACUGCUAUAGUGCUGUAACCUAUAAGCCUAUGUUCACAGACCACUAAGCACAACUGAAGUAAUUGAACCGCAAACCCACCGAACCGUAGAAACCGUGUGAACCGUAUUUCACGGUUACGGUUUCCAAAUUUUCAGCCCGGCCCGGUCCGAACCGGACCGUCAGUAUUGGCGUGCCGAUUACGGUUCCACCGGUGACGGUUCGAAAACCGCAUGAACCGGCCCGAACCGCCCCGGCCCGCCCGAAUGGCCGGGUCUAGAGUGUACAGACCUUGCUCAUUAUUCGCGCGGAAAAAAGGGAAGAGCAAUACACUGAUAUCUGAGAUGCCUGAGGAGUUAGGUGACAAAGAGAAUAUGCGAGUGUUCGUUUUCUUUGUUGAUCGGAGAAGAGAGUGAUCAACUGUGAAGGCUGCACAGAAAGCUACAUACAAAGCUAAUUUGAAAACAAACUUCUCAUGUAAGCUGCUGUAAUGUAAUGGGAGAAGCUUUUAUGUGCACAUGUUGUGGGGCCCAUUGUAGUGAAGCUGGCAUUUGUUUUAGACAUGCACGUAAGCAGUGGUAAAUUCGUUAUUACGAAGCUCAGCAGGGUCAAAUUGUUAGCUGAGGAGCACUGUAGUAUUCACGCUUGAGAAACUAUAAUAUAGAUAUAGAUAUAGAUAGAUAGAUAGAUAGAUAAGAGCGAAUGUGUAACAUGGGUUCAGUGUAAUCAAUCAAUCUGAAGAUGAAUCUUACAUACGAUCGCGAUAUAUGCCCGGCCGAAUGGGUGGAAAUGGUGAAAGAUGCACAGAUUCGGGACGGGAAGCGUAAGUAUCAACCACCGCCAGAGUCGCCGGAAACUGAAGUUCCAAAGAGGUCAAUUCGCGAUAUUCUCUUAAAUCCAAGUCAUCCAUGGGGCUAUGAUAAACUUGGCAAGACUAACCUAUUCCAUCUUUUCACUGCCGCCGGUACACAAUGCCUGUACACAAGGAAAGGCGAUGCGGUAAAGUUUAAUGCUAAUUUAUAUUUUAAUUGUUGUAGAUUUUAACUGUUAUUCGUGUUCGAGGAAUUAUUUGUAAAUUCUAAUUCUAAUUGUGUUGGUUGUUAUUGUUAUUAAAAUUGGAAUCAAGUAUGCUAAAUUUUAGUUUCAAAAAAAAAAAAAAAAAAUAUGCUAAAUUUUCAGCUUAAGGUUAUAAUAAUAAUACGGAAUUAUUAUUAUUAUUAUUAUUAUUAUUAUUAUUAUUAUUAUUAUUAUUAUUAUUAUUAUAUUGUGUUUCAUGGUGUAUCUUAAUUUGUCGGAUUCCGUCAAUUCUAUGAUUGAGUAUUCUGUGUUCCCCUCUCAGGUUAGGGUUGACCAACUCCGGGACAAAUUUGUUAUUCUCUAUCUCUUGAGAGAUGAUGUCCGGAAUGUGGCUACUUGUCCAGAAUAUAUACCCGACUUGAUUGAAACUUACCAAAUUUACGGCAAAUCUGAGCUUGAGAUUGUCUUUAUUUGGCUUGGUGAUGACAAGGAGGCUUUUUCUAAUCAGUUCUAUAUGCCGUGGCUUGCUGUCUUACCAGAGGAUGAGAGAACGGUCAAUGUCCUUACGGAGGAGUUUGACUUUAUAGGCCCUGUGUGCUUCCUUCUUUUUGACCGCAAUGGCUUCUUGUGUCUUUAUGAUGCCAGAGCGAACAUCAAUGCUUAUGGUGUCUUAGGCUUUCCUUUUACCCAUGAAAAGAUUGAGGAAGUAGAUAAGGAAGCUGCCAAACUCCUUUCUGAAAUCAUCAAUGGCAAACCAGUUACAUUGCCUGAUAUUUUGGGCGCCCAUGUAAUUUCCCCCACAGGAGACAAGGCAAGUGAACAUUUUAUAUUUCGCGUGCAAGGCACAGAUUGAUCAUUCAUACCAAAGUAUAUUAGAUGUAUUUCGCAAGUCCACAUUUUCAUUCCCAUUUGUCGGGAAUCUCUCCAUAUGUUGUGGCUGACCAUCCAUGUUCAUGUAUUUUUGCAGGUACCUACCUCCGACUUAAUAAAUAAGACCGUGGGUCUUUACAUGUUGAAUGAAUAUCCAUCUCGUAUUAUCCUUGAGGAGUUGAAACGUAUCUGUGAGGAUAAGAAAGAGGAUUUUGUCUUAAUUCCCAUCAUCACAUCGUACCAUUCCUCAUGGUCAUGGAUCAGAGCCGGAUGCAGCCAUCUCGAACGUAGCAUCCCUUGGUACACUCUGCCCGCUAUUAAGUGUCGCUACUUGAAUACAGUUUUCCAUAAUAAACUUAAGGAGCCGUAUUUUUCGUAUGGAGCAUGUGAUCUAGUUAUUCUUAAAGGCGAUAAGCAUAUUCCUGUCAGCUAUUUUGCCUUGCACAUCUUUGCAUGCUUCGGAGUUGAUGCCUACCCGUUUACCAUAGAAAACGCCGUGCAAGUGGCAAAGAAGGAACAACAAGGCAACAUAGUACUGAAGGAAAUAUUAUCGUCCAAGUCUAUUUUACGUAGACAAGAUUCAGCCGGCAGUGAGGUAUGUGUCAUUAUUUAUGAGCACUAUCUCGCAUGAUAUAGUUUUUGUUUUUAUUAUCAUAUUAUUUUAUUGAAGAUAAUAGUUUUUGUUAUUUUCAAUCACAUACUAUUUUAUUGAAACGUCUUCUGAAACUUGUACUAAUAAUCUGCCUGGCAGGAAGUGAUCACUGUUUCAGAGCUCGAUGGUAGACAUGUCUUAUUAUUGUUUGGGACUCAUGGUUGUGAGUGGGAAUCAUUUUUGUCUACCAUAAAGAAUUGGUAUGUUGACAAGCCACAUGAUGUUGACUUCGAGAUUAUCUACAUUCAUUUGGAUAUCAGUUUAGAAUCUACUUCCUUCUCAAGCACUAUUGAGAAAAUGCCUUGGGUGGUCCACUCGUCUAAACCAGAGGUUGCAGUUUCCUUGUUCGAGUGUGUGUUUCCCAUAUCUGCACACCUCCCUGCCAUUGCAGCCUUUGGGGUAAAUGGGCAUCUAGAAACAAAAGGAUCAGACUUAGCUUCUAAUGAUAAGUUGGUCUCUCAGUAUCCAUUUAUACAGGCUGAUAUGUAUGAUGAGGUUUAUCAAGAACUAAAAGACGAGCACGGAUGGGACUUGAAAAAUCUCUUUCCCACUCCUGCAGAGAUAGAGAUCAGCUCUUUAAUGUACAGACGGAUUUAUGGAUAAAUCAGUCAGAUGGCGCAAGAAAGAUCAGUUUUGCUAGUCUGACUAAAAGUUUCUUGUUUUUGUAGUCGUAGUCGCUCUCUUUGGCUACAAUUCAAACCCCAUCAGUUAGCUGCUGGAGCUGCAUAUCUUGCUGCAAAGUCUAUGAACAUGGAUCUCACUUCAUCGCAGCAUCUCUGGCAAGUGUUCCAGACACCACCCUCUGUACUUAAAGGUAUGUGUACAAUUAAUGUUCAGGUAUAUUUUUCUAGGUUUGCUUACAAUCUGCUGUUGUUUUGAAUUAAGGGCAUAGACCAUGGGGAAAUAUGUUACUUGCCAAGUUUUAUACAUAGAACUUUAUUGUAUUAUUCAUGUCAACAUUUUUGUCUACCUAUGAAUUAUACUUGCUUGUAUAAAGGUUAUGACAUGCAGUGGUUUUUUUAAUCAGAUGUCCUCCAGCAAUUAAUGGAGCUCUUUUAGAAGAUAGCAUGGAAGACAAGUACAGUGGGUCAGUGACGUGUGAGUUGUAUCAGUAAUUUUUAGGAUGGCAUGUCGUUCAUAUACAUGAUGUGGGGUCAUCAGUGUUUAGGUGUAUAUAUAUAUAGUAAAGCAGCUAUGAAGGAGAGUUUUUGUUUAGAGAUAAUAUUACUGAUUGAAGGAAAUUUCAAUCUACUGAUGAUGCUCAUAUUGCUGUGAGUAAAGAUUAU